rnacentral:rRNA from 1 species
AACAAACGCUGGCGGCGUGCCUAAUACAUGCAAGUCGAACGGGGAAAGCUUUCGGGCGAGUACUAGUGGCGCACGGGUGAGUAACGCGUGGAUAAUCUGCCUUGGUGUGGGGGAUAACUAGUCGAAAGAUUAGCUAAUACCGCAUAAGACCACAAGAACUGCGGUUCAAGGGGUCAAAGGUUUUUCGCUCUAAGAUGAGUCCGCGUAAGAUUAGCUAGUUGGUGAGGUAAUGGCUCACCAAGGCGACGAUCUUUAACUGGUCUGAGAGGAUGAUCAGUCACACUGGAACGUAGACACGGUCCAGACUCCUACGGGAGGCAGCAGUAGGGAAUAUUGCACAAUGGAGGAAACUCUGAUGCAGCGACGCCGCGUGAGUGAUGAAGGCCUUCGGGUCGUAAAGCUCUGUCGCAAGGGAAUAACACAAUGAAUGUACCUUGCAAGAAAGGAUCGGCUAACUUCGUGCCAGCAGCCGCCGUAAAAC